UGGGGAAUAUUGCACAAUGGGCGCAAGCCUGAUGCAGCCAUGCCGCGUGUAUGAAGAAGGCCUUCGGGUUGUAAAGUACUUUCAGCGGGGAGGAAGGCGAUAAGGUUAAUAACCUUGUCGAUUGACGUUACCCGCAGAAGAAGCACCGGCUAACUCCGUGCCAGCAGCCGCGGUAAUACGGAGGGUGCAAGCGUUAAUCGGAAUUACUGGGCGUAAAGCGCACGCAGGCGGUCUGUCAAGUCGGAUGUGAAAUCCCCGGGCUCAACCAGGGAACUGCAUUCGAAACUGGCAGGCUAGAGUCGUGUAGAGGGGGGUAGAAUUCCAGGUGUAGCGGUGAAAUGCGUAGAGAUCUGGAGGAAUACCGGUGGCGAAGGCGGCCCCCUGGACAAAGACUGACGCUCAGGUGCGAAAGCGUGGGGAGCAAACA
rnacentral:rRNA from 1 species